rnacentral:rRNA from 1 species
GGGGAAUAUUGGACAAUGGGGGGAACCCUGAUCCAGCCGUGCCGCGUGUGUGAAGAAGGUCUUAUGGUUGUAUAGCACAUUAAGCGAGGAGGAGGCUCUUUUGGUUAAUACCCAAGAUGACUGGACGUUACUCGCAGAAUAAGCACCGGCUAACUCUGUGCCAGCAGCCGCGGUAAUACAGAGGGUGCGAGCGUUAAUCGGAUUUACUGGGCGUAAAGCGUGCGUAGGCGGCUUUUUAAGUCGGAUGUGAAAUCCCCGAGCUUAACUUGGGAAUUGCAUUCGAUACUGGGAAGCUAUAGGAUGGGAGAGGAUGGUAGAAUUCCAGGUGUAGCGGUGAAAUGCGUAGAGAUCUGGAGGAAUACCGACGGCGAAGGCAGCCAUCUGGCCUAAUACUGACGCUGAGGUACGAAAGCAUGGCGAGCAAACA